CCUGCACUAACCUUUCGAUCUCAUUCUUUUGAAAAUGUGGGUAUCUAUAUGGUCUCACACUAAUAGGGCCUAUUCUGGGCUGCAAAUUGAUGGCAUGAUCAUGAUCCCGUUAGGGGGCAGCUUAUUGUUGUUCUCGAAAAUGGCAGAAAACUCCUUUAACACCUCAAUAAUGAUCUCCAGUGGUUUCGGCAUCCCUCCUUUGUCCACAAUAGUAAUAUUACCUAGUUCCAAUAAGAGCCCUUCUCCUUGCUCUCUGAAUGUUUUUAACAUGGUCUUUAGUGAUACUGGUGUUCUACUAAGACUUGGGUCCCCUUGGAGAGUCACUGUAGUUCCUGCCAUGUUAAUGGACAUCGCCAGCGUGUUCCAGUCCACUUGCAUUUUCCCCAAUUUCUGCACCCAUUGCAUCCCUAAUAUGAUAUCUGAAUUCCUAAUUCCAAAGGUAAGAAAUCCUCUACCACCGUUAGGUUCUACAACUUCAAUGGUAUAUGCUUGCAAAUGCAUUCCCCCUUUACAGUGAGGCCAGUUCCCAUAAUCACCUCGUAACCCGGAGUGCCCCAUAGAGGGAAGCUAAAUUGCUGGACAAUUUCUGAACUAAUGAACUUAUGGGAUGCUCCACUGUCUAUAAGAACCACGACUUUCCUUUGCCCAAUUUCCCCUUCAACUUCAUAGUCCCCGGUGUUGCAAGCCCCACAACAGAGUUAAUAGACAACUUAACGGCCUGGCUCUCUUCGUUUACUCCCUCUUCGCCCUCUCCGAUCAAGUUUUGGUCAUCGCAGCCAUCACUGCCUUGCGCGUCCCCGCCGUCCGGAACUGCUUCCACCUCCUUUACUACGAGCACUUGGAGCUACUUAUUCUUACACCUGGGGCCGAUUGUAAAUUUUUCAUCGCAUCGAUAGCACAAACCUCUUUCACGCUUCGCCUGUACUUCAGCAUCUGUAAGUCUCUUGAAGAAAGGGAUAUUUUUCUGAAAUGGUACUAGGCUUGCUAUACAAGUUAGGGUUAUAUUGAGGGGUAUAGUGGGCUUGGUUGUUGGGUUGAAACUUUGGGGUGGAUUUUGGUUAGAGUAAGCACUGGAUUUAGGUUUUGGUGGGCCUGGACUCCAUUGGCCCACUUUAGUAACCCAAUUCCUUUUUUCCACCAUAUGGGCUAUCUCCAUCAUCCGUUCUAACCCCCCAAGUCUGUAUACUUGGACCUCUGCCCUUAAUUCUGGCUUCAGUCCGUUCAUGAAACUUCCUUCUAGCACCUCCUCCGACAAGCCGUUCAAUGGUGCAGCCAAUGUUUCAACAUGUCGGCGAUAGUCCCUUACAGUGGUAAAUUGCCAGACUGCCAAAAAUUGAGCACACAACGUCCCCUCCUUUGAUGCUCGAAAUCAUCAAAGCAGCCUUACCUUCAGUUCUUCCCAAUUCAAAAUCGACCGUCGUUUCUCCUCCCAUUUUAGCCACACUAAAGCUUCUCCGUCCAGACAUACCACAGCGGCAUCCAUCUUUUCUUCUUCUGUCAUCCUAUUAAUCCCAAAGUACCUCUCCACCCUGAAGAUCCACCCGUUCGGAUCCAUACCAUCAAAUACCGACAUAUCCAGUCGCCUGAUGCGCGACUCCCCUUUCCAAGUCCCCAAGGCACCGUCUCCCUCAUAUUGACUUCCAGUUGGUCUCGAUUGGGCUAGCUCGGAUUCUGCAGAUGAUGCUUGUUCCUUAGCCACCCCUUUGUCCUUGCGAUCCCUCUUUUGUUUCGUCCAAUUCUGUAGUAGCACAUCCAUUUUUUCCAUUAGGCCUGAUUGCAUGGACUGAAAUUCUGAUCGUAAGGUGUCUAGGUUGGUUUGGAGCUCGUGACGAUUACUGUCCACCUUAUGUUCUAACUCAUUCACUCGUUCUGCCAAGGUCAUGGUUGUGCUAUGAAAUGGGUGCUCUGAUACCAAAUAUGUUAAAUACCAAGACUAAACGGAGAAGAGAAACAUGAAAUAUGAAGGAAAUUAAAUUGAAAUUGAUUGAAUGGAAAAUUACAACUCAAGAAAAACAUAAAAAGCCAUUCGAGAGGGCCAUUCUCUCCUAAUAUUCCUUUCCUCUCAAUGAUUUCUGAU
rnacentral:lncRNA from 1 species